GGAUAUGGUGAGAGACAGCAACGAUCCACCGUCGGCGACGGAGCCGCGGUAGCGGUGGCGGUGCAUUUGUUCCGCCGAACGAUGAUGGCGUCAUGGCCGACGACGACACUGGCCGUCGGAGCCACACCGGCGGCGUCAACCAUGAUGGUGGUGAUGUUCUGUUGGAUAAUGUUCAACACCAGAUGAUGGUUCGAGUUUUGAUGCAGAUUGGGUUCAGCUUCAUGUUUGGGUCAGUGCGGUUCGGGAGUUCGGUUCAAGUCGGGUCUCGGUUCGGUCAAAGCAGUCAACGAAAGUCAAUACAAGUCAACCGGACAAGCUCAGUGAACCGUCGAGUCAACUGGUCAAAUCCAGCCAACUCGGUCAACUCAGUUCGGUGUUCGGGUCAAGGUUUAGUUCAACUCGGUUUGACUCGAUCAAACCGAGUAAACUCAGUCAACGACUUGGUUAACAGCGGUCAAACAGGUCAAACGCGGUUAACUUAGGACCCGGUAAAGUUUAAACGUAACAAAAUAUUUAUUACGUGGCUUAGAGUUUUAGAUUACGUGAACCAAGCUCGAACCAUAGUGCCAUAGUUUAUACGUUAGUGAUUACUUACGAUUUUUGCAUUUCGACGAAAACUAUAUAUAUUUGACUACAAUGCGUUGGAUUA